rnacentral:misc_RNA from 1 species
AACGCACAUUGCGCCCGCUAGUAUUCUGGCGGGCAUGCCUGUCCGAGCGUCAUUUCAACCCUCGGGAGCCCCUUUGCGGGGGCUGCCGGUGUUGGGGAUCGCCCGCCGCCACGGUGGACGUCCCCUAAAACGAUUGGCGGUCUCGCUGUAGCCUCCUCUGCGCAGUAGCACUUGUUCUCGCAGGCGGAGCGCGGCGCGGCCAAGCCGUUAAACCCCCAACUUUUUUACUAGGUUGACCUCGGAUCAGGUAGGAAUACCCGCUGAACUUAA